UCGCAUACGUUUUCUCUGAAACUGAUAUUCCAUUUCUGCAUUAUUUUCCUUCUCACCAGUAAUGUGCACCUGAUUUUGGUUAUCGAUAGUUGAGGAAAUGACCGAACAUGAUGUACCCGAGCUUAUAUCUUUAGUAAAAGUCAAUAAAGGAGCAUUUGCAUGCCUUAACUCCUUUACUCAAGUUUUUAUGUUUUAAUAUUACUGUAAUAUAGCUGCUCCUGGAAUAGAAAUGCUUUUGCUUUUACAACAUCAAAUAAGCUAUAAAUUUAGAAAUUAAUAUAUCCCCAUUCAACCAUUUAUGUUGAGUUAAAUUAAAAUAAAACUAUGAUAUACCGUCAAUGUUUCUUGGAUAAUAUAAGAUUGGUUGUUUAAUUGGGCGUGCUUUCUUGAA
rnacentral:lncRNA from 1 species